AGAAAAGAUGAAUAGGGAAAGUAAAUUUGGAAGAAGUGCCUCAAAAUGCAGGGAGCUUUUAUUCAAACCUCUGUGGAAAGAGCCGAGGCUAUAGAUUAGUGAUGAAGACAUGCUUUGCAUACAGAAGGUCCCAUGUUCAGUCUCUGGCAUUUCCAGUCAAAGGAUUUCGCCGUGUGGUGGAAAAAAUCCUGCUGUCACAGCAACCCUAGACAGAACUUGAUUAGAUGGGCUCAGUAUUAGACAGGCUCAUAUGUUCACUGAAAAUGUUAUGAUCCUAGAAAGAAGGAAUUUAUGUGCCAAAGAGGAGAGACAUUUUCGUCCACCUCUAUUCUGUAGCACGUAUCUGGCCUGUUUAUAUCAUAGAAAUGAUACAGCCUGAUUUUCAUUUAAACUAAAGGCACACCUAUGUUAUUCUAGCAGUAAUAAGUUGUCCCCUAAUGGUCCCUUUAUCUAUUUUAUUAGUAGAAUAUAAUAAUAGGCACUUAAUUGGACAAGGGGGAAUGGUACAAACUGCAGAGAGCUAGCUUAAUUUUGGUAGCAUUCUUACCUUAAAUGAAAAGAAAAACAAAUAUAUAUGUGCUUUGAUUUAUGGAAUUGAGCUCAUUCCCAGAACACACACACCCUCUACCACAUGAUGGAGCAGAAGAAACAUGUCCAGACAUGAGGCUUGCGUAUUACCUGGGGCAAUGGAUGCCUUUGCUAGGAAGAGCCAAAGUACUAAAGACUCAUGGCCAAAAAGAGGGGAGGAAAAAUUUGAAAUCCUUGACAUGGAAUCAAAGCUUUUCACCAAAGAUGAGAAGCCAGCAAGUUGGAACAACUUGCUGAGGAAGUCCUGUCAUUUCCAGAAGGAAGCAUGAUUCACUCUGCAGGGCAUUUUUUGGAGCCUGAAUCAGAGCUGUCGAGGAAGUGAGUUCUUGGAUAGCUCAGCCUGAAACAUCACAUGACUUGGGGUUAAUUGUGACUUCUCCAGUGAGUACUUGCUGCAACUUUGUGCAGAACAGUUAAGUGGCAGAAACUCAGAUUACAAAGCAGGAUGAAGCAGCAGCAGAAAGUAAGACAGGCAAUGCAGCUGCAGAGGAAGCAGCAACUCAUGGAUCCUUGAAAAAUAAUAUUUCUUAUUGAUGAGGUACAGAUUUAGAGAAUACAUCUCCACAUAUUGUUAGGAGGUGCACAGAAGAGACUGUUGCUUCACGCUGAUGUGAAGCAGAAGUGUGAAAUAAACAGAUCCUCCAGAUUACGUAAAAUUCGAAACACCACACUGCAAAAUCUUGAGUGAGAAAAAAAAUGAUAAAGCACGGCAUUACUUUUUGCUCUGUCCUAGCUGAUUUUUUAAAAAUCUUAACCACUAGAUAUAAAAGGUUUUUAAGAUGUGGGAUUAGGUUGAUCUGGAGGAGUUGGGGGGAGAACGUCUUCUAAAUCUCUACAGCAUACAUAAUGGUUUCCUCAACUUGAGUGACAUCAGUUGCCACUGUUAUGUUUCAAAUACACUUGCAAUUUUUCUUUGUUAACUGCAGUGUAUACUUCAGAAUUGUCAGGGUCUCUUCCCCGCCCCCUGCUCUGCAUUAAAUGAGAGAGCAAAAUUAGAAUACCAGGCAAAAUUUACAGUUUUCUUUUCUCCUGCAAUUCUUCCACAGUACUGUUAAAGAGCGAUAUUUAAUAAGGUAGGGUUUUUUCCUUUGCUGCUGCUAUUCUCAGUAAAACUCCCCUUUUUUUGUUCUAUGACUUAUUUUGGUGAUUUACGGGGCUCCAUGUGAUUCCAAUCCCAAAAAGUGCAGUAAAGUGCUCCCCAUCCAAACAGGUAGGGGGAAGUUGCAGCCCUUUCAUUCACCCCUCUAGUUGUCUCAUUUGCCUUUCCCCAGGGCUGUACUGUGUUACCUUCCUGGUGCUCAUUGUGUGUCUGGGACAAACUUUGGCUAGCUACUUGAGAGAUGCCUCAUCCCCCCCCCCAACUUCCUGUUGCCCUGGAAACCAGCCCAAAGGUGGAGAAUAGGGCAUAGGACAAUCUUUUCCCUUUUUGCUGCUGCUAUUUGACAUUCCUGAAUAAAGACAUUCCUGAAUAACCUUAAAG